rnacentral:rRNA from 1 species
UACGAGGGGGGCGAGCGUUGUUCGGAAUUAUUGGGGACGUAAAGGGUGCGUAGGCGGUUUGGUAAGUCUUAUGUGAAAUCUAUGGGCUCAACUCAUAGUCUGCAUGAGAAACUGCCGGGCUUGAGUCCGGAAGAGGCAAGUGGAAUCCCGGUGUAGCGGUGAAAUGCGCAGAUAUCGGGAGGAACACCAAUGGCGAAGGCAGCUUGCUGGGACGGUACUGACGCUGAGGCGCGAAAGCGUGGGGAGCAAACAGG